ACUCGAGUGGCGAACGGGUGAGUAACACGUGGGUGAUCUGCCCUGCACUUCGGGAUAAGCUUGGAAAACUGGGUCUAAUACCGGAUAGGAGCCAUCUUUAGUGUGGUGGUUGGAAAGUUUUUUCGGUGUAGGAUGAGCUCGCGGCCUAUCAGCUUGUUGGUGGGGUAAUGGCCUACCAAGGCGGCGACGGGUAGCCGGCCUGAGAGGGUGUACGGCCACAUUGGGACUGGGAUACGGCCCAG
rnacentral:rRNA from 1 species